GAUGAACGCUAGCGGCAGGCCUAAUACAUGCAAGUCGAACGGUGUCUUCGGACAUAGUGGCGCACGGGUGCGUAACACGUAUGCAACCUACCUUACAUUGGGGGAUAGCCUUUCGAAAGGGAGAUUAAUACCGCAUAAGACAGUAGCUGGGCAUCCAGCAGCUGUUAAAGAUUUAUCGAUGUAAGCUGGGCAUGCGUCCAAUUAGCUAGUUGGUGAGGUAACGGCUCACCAAGGCAAUGAUUGGUAGGGGAACUGAGAGGUCAAUCCCCCACACUGGCACUGAGAUACGGGCCAGACUCGUACGGGAGGCAGCAGUAGGGAAUAUUGGGCAAUGGACGCAAGUCUGACCCAGCCAUGCCGCGCGCAGGAUGAAGGCGUUAUGCGUUGUAAACUGCUUUUAUACAGGAAGAAACGACUCUUGCGAGAGGCAUUGACGGUACUGUAUGAAUAAGCACCGGCUAACUCCGUGCCAGCCGCCGCGGUAACAC
rnacentral:rRNA from 1 species